UGGGGAAUAUUGGACAAUGGGCGCAAGCCUGAUCCAGCCAUGCCGCGUGUGUGAAGAAGGCCUUUUGGUUGUAAAGCACUUUAAGCGAGGAGGAGGCUACUUGGAUUAAUACUCUAGGAUAGUGGACGUUACUCGCAGAAUAAGCACCGGCUAACUCUGUGCCAGCAGCCGCGGUAAUACAGAGGGUGCGAGCGUUAAUCGGAUUUACUGGGCGUAAAGCGUGCGUAGGCGGCUUCUUAAGUCGGAUGUGAAAUCCCUGAGCUUAACUUAGGAAUUGCAUUCGAUACUGGGAAGCUAGAGUAUGGGAGAGGAUGGUAGAAUUCCAGGUGUGGCGGUGAAAUGCGUAGAGAUCUGGAGGAAUACCGAUGGCGAAGGCAGCCAUCUGGCCUAAUACUGACGCUGAGGUACGAAAGCAUGGGGAGCAAACAGG
rnacentral:rRNA from 1 species